rnacentral:rRNA from 1 species
UACGUAGGGUCCGAGCGUUGUCCGGAAUUAUUGGGCGUAAAGGGCUCGUAGGCGGUUUGUCGCGUCGGGAGUGAAAACACGGGGCUUAACCCCGUGCCUGCUUCCGAUACGGGCAGACUAGAGGUAUGCAGGGGAGAACGGAAUUCCUGGUGUAGCGGUGAAAUGCGCAGAUAUCAGGAGGAACACCGGUGGCGAAGGCGGUUCUCUGGGCAUUACCUGACGCUGAGGAGCGAAAGUGUGGGAGCGAACAGG